rnacentral:lncRNA from 1 species
GCAUUAGCAUGCAUGCCGUGCAGAAAACUAGUCUGGGCAACUCCUUGGCAUCAUUUAUUUAUUGUGAGGAAAAUGAAAAGGGGGAUGUAAAUGUAAGCAGCAGGGGCAAGGUGGGUGGGGGGAAGAGAAGGAAAACCUUUCAAAAAAAAGCCAAUGGGGAAUAAUGCUCAAGGGAAGAUAAAACAGAUUCCUAACUCAUCCAGAACAAACUCAGUUUCCCGUGACUAGUAUGUUGCUGUUUUUUACCCUCGACCCUCUUAAAUACACUUCUACCUGACGUACCACAUGGUGAGUAAGGGAGCGAUGCCCCUCUGCCUGGCUCAGUGACGCCCCAUGUUGUGAGAGGCUUCAACCUCCCCCUCCCCACUUUUCUCCUCCCUGCCACACUGAUUUUGUCUGUGAGUGUCUGGGCAGCCAGUCUGCACUUUGUGGCAAGGUUCAAGCAGACAGCUAGACACGCAGGCGAGCCGUUCUUUGAAAACGUGGCAGAAUGCCAUCUGCCGCUUCAGAGUAUUUUUUCCCCUCCCUCGCCGUCCUUGCACUCCUUUCCAACUCUCACACACGCAUGGCCCUGGCUUUUGGAGACAUGCUUACCAACUGUCAAUUAGCAGGCCUCAAUACACUGGAAAAGAAAAGCAAGCUGCCUCAUGACAAUGAUGGCAUGUGGGGUGUGUGUGUGUGUGUGUGUGUGUGUGUGUGUGGACUCUGUCAACAACACAUUUGCCAUGAAACUCGAGCCUUAGAAGGUCCCUGACCUUAAAAAAGAAUCCCAGCCUCUUGGUGCUUUCGAUGACCUCCUCUCCCUCUCUGCUUCGUGCUUCGUGAAAAGCUCCAUUGUGAUCAUUUUACGCAGCAAAGAGAUGGCGAUGAUCUCAUAGGUCUGGGUGAAAAGGGACCGUCGUUGCUCAGUGCUGUUGGAGUGAUCUCAUUGGUGUGCUGGGAUUAGGCAAAGGGAGACCAUCUGCAGAACUUUUAAAAAUAAUUAUUAUUGGUGACCGUAAUGGGGGAUGUUGUGUGUGGCAUUGCCUGGCUUUUCCCUAGUUUCUUUGGGCACGGGAAAAGCGGGGUGCUGUUGCACUUGGGAAAAGGUUCAGGUGUACAGGUGGGAAGUAGGCCAGGCUCUGGCCAGAGAUGGCCCAAGGUAUUCUGCUGCCUGAGUUUCCCCUCUCCUCUUUGUCCUUCAUUGUUUCUCUGCUGAUAUAAAAGAGCAGCACAGGAACAAGUAUGGGAGAAACUAACAAAUGACAACUGAGGGGCCCUGGGGUUCUUAGCAGAAAGAAAUGAGAGAAAAUAAGAGAAAAUUUAAACAUAUGGAGAAUUUGCAUUGUGAAGGAUUGAUCUGAGAACAGACACCCGAAGGCAUUAUGGGAUGAGGGUCGAGGAAGGUAUCAUACACCAGCACCAACUCUACAGUCCAAUUUGUGGGAUGACCAGCCUCAUAUAACCAACGUGUUUAAGUCUAAUGAAUGCAUUAAGGAGUUAAGAUCAUGGAGUAAGCUGUCCUGCCAGGCUUAGAUCACUUUGAGAGAGACUAGGUAAUCAAGCCUUUGUUUACCCCAGCAGACUACCAGAGAAGCUCAGUGUUUGAGGAGGUGCUAGCCGGUUACUCCAAGCUCAGACUGCAUGGCUCUCACAAGUCACUCUUGACUUCCCAUACCAAUAAUUUAGGAACCUUCACCUCUUUGAAAUUAAACUAAGUUUCACCGUCUGUGCAACCUUUCUGGAAAAUGAGCCUGACCUUUGGAGAUUUGGUAAGUAAACAGUUUUUAACUUACUAAAUGUGUGGUCUUUUCCUAUGUUGGGGGAAGAGGGUAUUAUUUUUGGAACUCACUUGGAAAUACAUAUUGUAAAGGUCCAUGCUUACUUUCAUGCUUUACCGUACUUUGCUGUAUAUUUUGCGAUUUAAAAUCUCUGCUGUUGUUCUCUCACCAAAGAAUAUUUGCCCCAAACUUGGAUCUUGUCAUCCAAGGAAUUAUCCUUUUUAUACCUACUUUUUACCUUGCCAACCAACACAAUGUAGAAUUGAGCUGAUUUCAGUUGACUUAAGUAUGUUUAACUUGCUUGGAUUGCGUCUUAGAGUCCUGAAAGUGACCUGCUUCUUUGUUCCACCAGUAGCAGAAGUUGAUGGAGAGUGCUUUUUGGCAGACAAAUCUGCCGCCCAUCCCUUGACCAUUAUCCCCUUUUUUCCAGGAACAAUAGAAGUAUGUUUGUCCAAGAUGAAAUCUACAAAAUGGGCACUUAUUAAGAUCUUCACAUCUGGCCAGUUAUUUUCUUUUUCUAGUUCAAGGUAACAAAAAUAAAGAGAUGACCUUUUAUAUUAUGUUAUUAUUUUUUUACUCCCAGGUUUUGCUACCUUGUUUCCUAAUGGUUGUCCUGAUUCCUUGUUUUAGGGCAAGAAAAUGAUCUAAAUAAAUAGACUUUGACAGGAGGCCAAUUCUGCUGCCAGAAUUACACUAAUUAAAUAUGCAUAAUUCUCUUAAUUAGAAAAAAAAUAAAAUAAAGACCAGAUUAAGGUUU